GUAACCUGCCCAUCAGAAGGGGAUAACACUUGGAAACAGGUGCUAAUACCGUAUAACAAUCGAAACCGCAUGGUUUUGAUUUGAAAGGCGCUUUCGGGUGUCGCUGAUGGAUGGACCCGCGGUGCAUUAGCUAGUUGGUGAGGUAACGGCUCACCAAGGCCACGAUGCAUAGCCGACCUGAGAGGGUGAUCGGCCACAUUGGGACUGAGACACGGCCCAAACUCCUACGGGAGGCAGCAGUAGGGAAUCUUCGGCAAUGGACGAAAGUCUGACCGAGCAACGCCGCGUGAGUGAAGAAGGUUUUCGGAUCGUAAAACUCUGUUGUUAGAGAAGAACAAGGAUGAGAGUAACUGUUCAUCCCUUGACGGUAUCUAACCAGAAAGCCACGGCUAACUACGUGCCAGCAGCCGCGGUAAUACGUAGGUGGCAAGCGUUGUCCGGAUUUAUUGGGCGUAAAGCGAGCGCAGGCGGUUUCUUAAGUCUGAUGUGAAAGCCCCCGGCUCAACCGGGGAGGGUCAUUGGAAACUGGGAGACUUGAGUGCAGAAGAGGAGAGUGGAAUUCCAUGUGUAGCGGUGAAAUGCGUAGAUAUAUGGAGGAACACCAGUGGCGAAGGCGGCUCUCUGGUCUGUAACUGACGCUGAGGCUCGAAAGCGUGGGGAGCAAACAGGAUUAGAUACCCUGGUAGUCCACGCCGUAAACGAUGAGUGCUAAGUGUUGGAGGGUUUCCGCCCUUCAGUGCUGCAGCUAACGCAUUAAGCACUCCGCCUGGGGAGUACGACCGCAAGGUUGAAACUCAAAGGAAUUGACGGGGGCCCGCACAAGCGGUGGAGCAUGUGGUUUAAUUCGAAGCAACGCGAAGAACCUUACCAGGUCUUGACAUCCUUUGACCACUCUAGAGAUAGAGCUUCCCCUUCGGGGGCAAAGUGACAGGUGGUGCAUGGUUGUCGUCAGCUCGUGUCGUGAGAUGUUGGGUUAAGUCCCGCAACGAGCGCAACCCUUAUUGUUAGUUGCCAUCAUUCAGUUGGGCACUCUAGCAAGACUGCCGGUGACAAACCGGAGGAAGGUGGGGAUGACGUCAAAUCAUCAUGCCCCUUAUGACCUGGGCUACACACGUGCU
rnacentral:rRNA from 1 species